rnacentral:rRNA from 1 species
GUAGGGAAUCUUCCACAAUGGACGCAAGUCUGAUGGAGCAACGCCGCGUGAGUGAAGAAGGUUUUCGGACCGUAAAGCUCUGUUGUUGGUGAAGAAGGAUAGAGGUAGUAACUGGCCUUUAUUUGACGGUAAUCAACCAGAAAGUCACGGCUAACUACGUGCCAGCAGCCGCGGUAAUACGUAGGUGGCAAGCGUUGUCCGGAUUUAUUGGGCGUAAAGCGAGCGCAGGCGGAAGAAUAAGUCUGAUGUGAAAGCCCUCGGCUUAACCGAGGAAUUGCAUCGGAAACUGUUUUCUUGAGUGCAGAAGAG